GCGGAUAUGGUUUAGUGGUAAAACGUGUCCUUGCCAAGGACGAGUCGGGAGUUCGAUUCUCCCUAUCCGCACAA
rnacentral:tRNA from 2 species